rnacentral:rRNA from 2 species
AGUGGAAGCGUCUGGAAAGGCGCGCGAUACAGGGUGACAGCCCCGUACACAAAAGCGCAUGUGCUGUGAGCUCGAUGAGUAGGGCGGGACACGUGGUAUCCUGUCUGAAUAUGGGGGGACCAUCCUCCAAGGCUAAAUACUCCUGACUGACCGAUAGUGAACCAGUACCGUGAGGGAAAGGCGAAAAGAACCCCGGCGAGGGGAGUGAAAAAGAACCUGAAACCGUGUACGUACAAGCAGUGGGAGCACCCUUCGGGGUGUGACUGCGUACCUUUUGUAUAAUGGGUCAGCGACUUAUAUUCUGUAGCAAGGUUAACCGUAUAGGGGAGCCGGAGGGAAACCGAGUCUUAA